GUCAGCCUGCCAGUGACUUUGUUCAACGGCCGCGGUAUCCUAACCGUGCGAAGGUAGCGUAAUCACUUGUCUUUUAAAUGAGGACUUGUAUGAAUGGCAUCACGAGGGUUAUACUGUCUCCUUUUUCUAAUCAGUGAAACUAAUCUUCCCGUGAAGAAGCGGGAAUAAAUAUAUAAGACGAGAAGACCCUAUGGAGCUUUAAACUUAAUAACAAAUACUAACCUUACUUCAACUUCCAGAACAUUAAUCUUAAUUUUAGUAUUGUGUUUAUUAGUUUUAGGUUGGGGUGACCGCGGAGUAAAAAUUAACCUCCAUAUUGAAUAGGACUCGUCCUUGAGCUGAGAACUACAACCCUAAGCACCAAUAAAUUGACAUUAAUUGACCCAAUAUUUUGAUCAACGAACCAAGUUACCCUAGGGAUAACAGCGCAAUCCACUUCAAGAGCUCCUAUCGACAAGUGGGUUUACGACCUCGAUGUUGGAUCAGGGUAUCCCAGUGGUGCAGCCGCUACUAAAGGUUCGUUUGUUCAACGAUUAAAACCCUACGUGAUCUGA
rnacentral:rRNA from 1 species